rnacentral:rRNA from 1 species
UACGUAGGGGCCGAGCGUUGUCCGGAGUUAUUGGGCGUAAAGCGCGCGCAGGCGGCUUCGCGCGCCCGACGUGAAAGCCCCCGGCUUAACCGGGGAGAGUCGUUGGGGACGGCGGAGCUUGAGGGCGGGAGAGGUCGGUGGAAUUCCCGGUGUAGUGGUGAAAUGCGUAGAGAUCCGGAGGAACCCCAGAGGCGAAGGCGGCGCUCUGGCUCAGCCCUGACGCUCAGACACGACAGCAUGGGGAGCGAACGGG